rnacentral:tRNA from 3 species
GCCAGAGUAGCUCAGUUGGUAGAGCGCCUCACUUGUAAUGAGGAUGUCGCGGGUUCGACUCCUGUCUCUGGCUCCA